rnacentral:rRNA from 1 species
ACAUGCAAGUCGAACGAGUUCUGAUUAUUGAAAGGUGCUUGCAUCUUGAUUUAAUUUUGAACGAGUGGCGGACGGGUGAGUAACACGUGGGUAACCUGCCCUUAAGUGGGGGAUAACAUUUGGAAACAGAUGCUAAUACCGCAUAAAUCCAAGAACCGCAUGGUUCUUGGCUGAAAGAUGGCGUAAGCUAUCGCUUUUGGAUGGACCCGCGGCGUAUUAGCUAGUUGGUGAGGUAACGGCUCACCAAGGCAAUGAUACGUAGCCGAACUGAGAGGUUGAUCGGCCACAUUGGGACUGAGACACGGCCCAAACUCCUACGGGAGGCAGCAGUAGGGAAUCUUCCACAAUGGACGCAAGUCUGAUGGAGCAACGCCGCGUGAGUGAAGAAGGCUUUCGGGUCGUAAAACUCUGUUGUUGGAGAAGAAUGGUCGGCAGAGUAACUGUUGUCGGCGUGACGGUAUCCAACCAGAAAGCCACGGCUAACUACGUGCCAGCAGCCGCGGUAAUACGUAGGUGGCAAGCGUUAUCCGGAUUUAUUGGGCGUAAAGCGAGCGCAGGCGGUUUUUUAAGUCUGAUGUGAAAGCCCUCGGCUUAACCGAGGAAGUGCAUCGGAAACUGGGAAACUUGAGUGCAGAAGAGGACAGUGGAACUCCAUGUGUAGCGGUGAAAUGCGUAGAUAUAUGGAAGAACACCAGUGGCGAAGGCGGCUGUCUGGUCUGUAACUGACGCUGAGGCUCGAAAGCAUGGGUAGCGAACAGGAUUAGAUACCCUGGUAGUCCAUGCCGUAAACGAUGAAUGCUAGGUGUUGGAGGGUUUCCGCCCUUCAGUGCCGCAGCUAACGCAUUAAGCAUUCCGCCUGGGGAGUACGACCGCAAGGUUGAAACUCAAAGGAAUUGACGGGGGCCCGCACAAGCGGUGGAGCAUGUGGUUUAAUUCGAAGCAACGCGAAGAACCUUACCAGGUCUUGACAUCUUUUGAUCACCUGAGAGAUCAGGUUUCCCCUUCGGGGGCAAAAUGACAGGUGGUGCAUGGUUGUCGUCAGCUCGUGUCGUGAGAUGUUGGGUUAAGUCCCGCAACGAGCGCAACCCUUAUGACUAGUUGCCAGCAUUUAGUUGGGCACUCUAGUAAGACUGCCGGUGACAAACCGGAGGAAGGUGGGGAUGACGUCAAAUCAUCAUGCCCCUUAUGACCUGGGCUACACACGUGCUACAAUGGAUGGUACAACGAGUUGCGAGACCGCGAGGUCAAGCUAAUCUCUUAAAGCCAUUCUCAGUUCGGACUGUAGGCUGCAACUCGCCUACACGAAGUCGGAAUCGCUAGUAAUCGCGGAUCAGCACGCCGCGGUGAAUACGUUCCCGGGCCUUGUACACACCGCCCGUCACACCAUGAGAGUUUGUAACACCCGAAGCCGGUGGCGUAACCCUUUUAGGGAGCGAG